rnacentral:tRNA from 1 species
AGGGGUGUAGCUCAGUGGUUGAGUGCUUAUCUCACAUGUGUGAGGCACUGGGUUCGAUCCUCAGCACCGCAU